rnacentral:lncRNA from 1 species
UCCCUCUAGAACCUUCUGGUUCCUUCUUCUCUGAUGAAACUCGUUGUUCCGGCCAUACUACUCCCUCACUUCUCUCGAUCUCAAGUCACCAUGGAACCCUCAGCUCGUUGUUCCCCUCCGAAGCUCGAAACCCAGCGACCUCUACCAUGAAAGACGAUCGCUGAAAGCUUCCCUUGGGUCCUUUGCCGACUUUUCUCCAGUGGUUUUUGUCCGAUGAUUCCUACUAUGGCAUUAUAUAUGAGUUUCACGACUAGGUUUUUUAUUUUCCCUAAUUUGUUUGCAAACCCUAAUUUUUCUACUCGAACCUCUUUAAUCUCUGCUCCUUUAAGAAUCAUUCUCAGUUUGAUUUAGUUUUCUACUCUAUUUCUUACUUAGUUUUUCC